rnacentral:lncRNA from 1 species
AGGCACUUGAGAUGACACUUUAUCACAGGAGUUCUCACAGAUUGCCGCAGCUACAGUGGGAACUGAAGCCUUAUGUGUGACUCCAAAGGGGAUCCUGGUUCUCACAACAUAAUGAAUGGAAGAAUUAUCCCUGAUAGACACUUGUCUGAAAUGUAUUUGCCUUGGAUUUUUAAGAGUUCCUGAAUGAUUUUGCUUCAGUGUUCUUCUGACCAUGCUGUAAACAACGC